rnacentral:antisense_RNA from 1 species
CGCGUCAGAAACACUUCAUACUGGUAGCUCUGGGAUAGGGUCUCGGUGCCGCUCACGUCCACCAGAUGCCCUGGAAAGGGGCCCUCGGGCACCGAGAAGCGGCCCACUGAGGCCGCCCUGCUCCUCCUGAGCAGCCGCAUCGCCACGAACAGGAGCACCGAGAAGAGGAAGAGCGACGACACCGAGGCCAACGCCACCACCAGAAUCUCGGUCUUGAAUGCUGAAAAGAGCUACAAUGGUCCCGGGAGAAUUUUCACGGAUGGGGCUUGUGAAUGAAACCAUGGUCAGUUCUGGAGAGUUAUCGUUGAUAUCUACCACCUGUAUUAUGACAGUCCAUUUUCCAGAAAGACCUGCCCCAUCAGAGGCUUUAAUAUCCACCUGAUAUGACACAAUUUUUUCAAAA